rnacentral:rRNA from 1 species
AUUCCAGCUCCAAUAGCGUAUAUUAAUGUUGUUGCAGUUAAAAAGCUCGUAGUUGGAUUUCUGGUGGGAGUGGCCGGUCCGCCGUAAGGUGUGUACUUGGUUGUCUCCCGUCAUCCUUGUGGGAACUGCUCUGGCAUUAAGUUGUCGGGGUUAGGGAACACAUCGUUUACUGUGAAAAAAUUAGAGUGUUUAAAGCAGGCUUAUGCCGUUGAAUACAUUAGCAUGGAAUAAUAAGAUAGGACUUUGGCGUCUAUUUUGUUGGUUUGCACACCAAGGUAAUGAUUAAUAGGGAUAGUUGGGGGUAUUCGUAUUUAACUGUCAGAGGUGAAAUUCUUGUAUUUGUUAAAGACGGACUACUGCGAAAGCAUCUGCCAUGGAUGUUUUCAUUG